rnacentral:rRNA from 1 species
AUUGAACGCUGGCGGCGUGGCUAAAGCAUGCAAGUCGAGCGAACCCGCAAGGGUGAGCGGCGGACGGGUUAGUAAUACGAUCGAACGUGCCCUGAGGCGGGGGAUAGGCGUGGGAAACUGCGCGUAAUACCCCAUGAUCUCUCCGGAGCAAAGGUUUACCACCUUGGGAUCGGCGAUCGUCCUAUCAGGUAGUUGGCGGGGUAAUGGCCCACCAAGCCUAUGACGGGUAGCAGGUGUGAGAGCACGACCUGCAACAUCGGGACUGAGACACUGCCCGGACUCCUACGGGAGGCUGCAGCGACGAAUCUUCCGCAAUGGGCGCAAGCCUGACGGAGCGACGCCGCGUGUGGGAUGAAGCGCCUUCGGUGUGUAAACCACUGUCAGGGGGCAGAACCAAUGAUCGCCCCCAAAGGAAGAGACGGCUAACCCUGUG